rnacentral:lncRNA from 1 species
GGGGAAUUCACUGACACCUGUCUUACGGCCCAGCAGAAGGUGCCAGGUUCCUACAGAGGGCGGGGUCCUCCUAGACAGUCUUCACUAGUUCUCUCACAUCCUCCCUGACUACUUUGCCAUUUCGUUGAGGCGUAAUUGACGAUGGCACAGUGUGUUUACAGCAUGCGACAAGAAAGGCGUGGUGAGACCAUCAGCCCAGCAGGGCCCCUCACACACCCCUCACCUCCCGUAGCUAUGUAUUCCCUUGGGGUGAGGACAUGUAAGAGUACUGCCCCACCAGCCACUACUCAUCCACUUUCUGCUUGUCUGAGUUGUUCUAGAUCCACCAAAAGUGAGACCACGCAGCAUUUGUCUUAUUUCACUUGACCGUGUCUCCAGGUUCAUCCACGUUGUACAAAUGACAGGCUUUCCUUCUGUUAAGGAGGACUGAUUCCAUGUCUUGGCCCUUGGGAACAAUCUCACCAUGGACCUGAGCACACAGAGAUCUCUCUGACACACUGAUGCAUUUCCUUUGGAUAGGUACCCAGUUCUGGGAUUUCGCUGACUUGAACUAUAUACAUUUAAUCCGUUGGGAUUAUCUUGACUUUGGAGAUCCGGAUAUUCAUUUCCCACUCCAGAGUUGGGACAUUAUCUGCCAUUAUUGCUUUAAAAGAGGUCUUGUUUUUUGUGGACUCCUGGAUUCCCAGAAUGCACAUACUGGUUUGCGGGAGGGUGCCAC